GACGAACGCUGGCGGCGUGCCUAAUACAUGCAAGUUGAGCGCUGAAGGUUGGUACUUGUACCAACUGGAUGAGCAGCGAACGGGUGAGUAACGCGUGGGGAAUCUGCCUUUGAGCGGGGUACAACAUUUGGAAACGAAUGCUAAUACCGCAUAAAAACUUUAAACACAAGUUUUAAGUUUGAAAGAUGCAAUUGCAUCACUCAAAGAUGAUCCCGCGCUGUAUUAGCUAGUUGGUGAGGUAAAGGCUCACCAAGGCGAUGAUACAUAGCCGACCUGAGAGGGUGAUCGGCCACAUUGGGACUGAGACACGGCCCAAACUCAUACGGGAGGCAGCAGUAGGGAAUCUUCGGCAAUGGACGAAAGUCUGACCGAGCAACGCCGAGGGAGUGAAGAAGGUUUUCGGAUCGUAAAACUCUGUUGGUAGAGAAGAACGUGGGUGAGAGUGGAAAGCUCAGCAAGUGACGGUAACUACCCAGAAAGGGACGGCUAACUACGUG
rnacentral:rRNA from 1 species